CCCACACGUAUGUGUGUGGGACCCCAAAGGAUCACCAUUAAAUUUGGUACAGAUCUCUAGAAAAGUUAUCACAUGGGUGUGAGAUUUGAUGUUUUUAGAGAUAUGUGCCAAAUUUAAUGGUGAUCUUUUGGGGUCCUACACACAUGGGUGUAGG
rnacentral:pre_miRNA from 1 species